rnacentral:tRNA from 1 species
AAGCAGGUAGCAUAAAUAUUGUAUUUAGUUUCGGCCUAAAAGGCGGUUGUAGUAUCAACCCUUGCAUA